rnacentral:tRNA from 3 species
GGCCAGGUAGCUCAGAUGGUAGAGCAGCGGAUUGAAAAUCCGCGUGUCGGCGGUUCAAGUCCGUCUCUGGCCACCA